GGCGCCGGUGAUUCCUCUCUGGUGAUUAUCCUGCUAACAGUGGCGGCCCUAUUCCGAGCGUUCCGUGCUGGGCCGGCGGUCAGCGAGCGGCGCGGCUGAUUCCUCUCCGGCGAUUGUGCGGCCAACCGUGCUCAAUCCCCAACUAUCCCCAAUUGGAUUUGGGUCCCUAGAUUGGGCUAGAUUUGCAAAGCAAACAGAGGAGGCGACUAGCUCGUGGCUCAUUGGGUUGUCUCCUCCAAGUUCAGCACAUCUAAAAAUUAAGGAAAUAGGAGAGGGGACGAGUAACUAUGGAAUGCCAAAGCGAAGUGAGCAAGGCUCCUUCUUUGGCUAUUUGUGAUGUCCAGUCUGAUGCAGAAUCAGCCGUCCACACUAGGCCAAGUC